GUGCUGUGAUGUUUUUGUCAACCCUUCAUUCUGAAGAAAAAAAAGUAUGUGGUAACUUUUAAAACUGAGCACA
rnacentral:snoRNA from 1 species